rnacentral:rRNA from 1 species
UAAGGAAUAUUGCUCAAUGGGAGAAAUCCUGAAGCAGCAACGCCGCGUGGAGGAUGAAGGGCUUUCAGCUUGUAAACUCCUGUAAAGAAGGAAAAAAUUCCCAUUAGAUGGGAAAUGAUGGUACUUCUAAAGUAAGCCCCGGCUAACUACGUGCCAGCAGCCGCGGUAAUACGUAGGGGGCAAGCGUUGUCCGGAUUUACUGGGUGGAAAGGGUGCUCAGGCGGAGUUGUAAGUCAGAGGUGAAAUCUCACAGCUUAACUGGGAAACUGCCUUUGAUACUGCAAGUCUAGAGUAUGGAAGAGAGGGAUGGAAUGUCUGGUGUAGCAGUGAAAUGCGUAGAUAUCAGAUAGAACACCAAUGGCGAAGGCAGUCACGUGGUCCAUUACUGACGCUAAAGCACGAAAGCGUGGGUAGCAAACA